rnacentral:rRNA from 1 species
CGGAAGAGAUAAGUGCUGAAAGCAUCUAAGCACGAAACUUGCCCCGAGAUGAGUUCUCCCUGACUCUUUAAGGGUCCUGAAGGAACGUUGAAGACGACGACGUUGAUAGGCCGGGUGUGUAAGCGCAGCGAUGCGUUGAGCUAACCGGUACUAAUGAACCGUGAGGCUUAACCUUACAACGCCGAAGGUGUUU